UGCUGAGUUUGCUGCAGCUACUU
rnacentral:snRNA from 1 species